CCUGUAGGAAGGCCACAGUUCUAAGUCACCAAGCUCUGCUUAGCCCAUGAGGUUCAUUCUGCUCCUCUCCCCCACCAAGAAAUCCACAGACAACCACACACACACCUCUAAAGGUUCUGGUCACCAGAGGAGGGAAAAGAGACCUGCCUUGGUUGGAGACAGGUAAGCGUGAAAUGGAGAGAGUACUCAAGCCUAUUAAGCCUAAGGAAAGAGUGAGGCCCCAGGAGGAAUUGGGAACCUGCACUCUUCAAAGGACUCUCCUAUACAACCAACAUUUCAAAAAUGGAGGAGAGAAAACUAAGAAAAAGAGACUCUUCCUUAGACCCAUGUAAGGGUAAGGCAGGAAUGGGGAUGGUAAAGUGCUGUCCUGAGGAAAAGGAGCCAGGUGUGGCAGCUGGUUAUAGAGAGGAGGGAAAUCAGGCCCCUGUAGCCACUGAAGCUUCAACCUGGUGGGUGAGGAAGACAAAGAGGAGUGGGUGGGGGGAUUCAGUCCCAGGCCUCUAGAGGGCCUUCACUGAUGCUUUCAAAAGGAAGACGUGUUCAGGAGCUGGGCUUAUCUUCUUGUUAGGCCCACACUGCUGACAAGCCCCCAUUACCUGCCAAGUAACCUACUCUGCCUGCUAAUCAGAGGGGAAUUCCUGAGGAAUACCCACGGCAAGAAGAAGGAACUCCUCGCCCAACCACCAGGGAGGGGACCCGAGGGGAUCCACGGGCCUGGGAGGAGCCAGGAGACCCAAGGACAGCCAGGGGAGAGAAAGAGAGAGGAGGCCUGGCAGACACCCACGGGGAAGGCGGGGACAGCUGAGAGGACAGAUGGGGGAAGCUGGGAAGGAGCAUCAGCCAGCGCGGGAGGAGGGGAGGACCGGGAAUGAUGCAGAGGUAAGGAACCCUGCAGAGGCAGGGAAGAUGGAGAAGAGAGGCUGUCUAGGGGACAGUCAAGGAGAAAAGGCUGGCAUGUCAGGUGAGGGAUGGAGUGGUGGAAGAGAGAAGGGACUGAAGCCCCAAGUCAGCUUACAGAACAUCUCGGGCUCCCUGGCCAGCCCCGUCAACAUCCCUUGCAGCCUACUGGCCACAUCCCACAUCCCCAAGCAAGGAUACAGUGGGUGGGACCAAGAUGGAGAGGCGAAGGUAAAGGGAUGUACCCCCGCAGGGCGGGGCCUGGAGAUCUGCAGUCAAGGGCAGUGGCUGCGGGGCCGGGACGGACCACAGAAUUUCCAUUCCUAGCCUUCGAGCAUCCCCGGCACCCAAAGAUUGAAAUCAGGAGAAACAGAAAGUCAGGAAGUUGCACACAGUUAAUACCUUGCGUUUUCCCAAGGGCGGGUAUGAAAUCCAAAACUGCUGCAGAAUUAAAGAUGAACCGCCUUUCUAAUUAGUUUUCUGAGUCGACGUCCGACUUAUUGAUUCCCAGUGCUGGGAUCCGAGCAACCCACUGUGGCAGCCUAAAUAGCAGCGAUAAGACUGAUGGUGCUCUUCUGCCCGGGAAUCUCUGGUCUGGCUUCCCUCUUGAGUCCGCAACAAGCGGCUCUGACUUCCUGGAGCUCCAAACUCCGGUCAGUAGGGGAAGCAGUCCCGUUGGCUCUGCGUGAAGAGCUGCUGCGCCGAGACGCCGGCAAAACCGCUGCGGCAGCCACAAGAGUCGCGCUGGCGACCCGUGAGGCUCCUCCACUGGGAAUCGGCUAAUCGGUGAGUGACGAAAAUUCGUCUAAUGGUGUGGCAUCGUCUCGUUCUCUGAGCUUUCACUGGGAGCUACAAUCCUGAGCUGUUAGUGGUCGGCCAUCUGCCCUUUGCACUCUUGAGUGUGCAUGCAUCAUGCUGGGUGAUGUUCAGAUCAAUUGGAGAGGUAGUUAAGGGCUGGUAUGUUUUAAUUAAAUAAAUGUCUGACAAAAUGAGUACAUAUGGAGGUGCACUUUAAACUGUGAGGUGCCUGGAAAAUGAAGUUAUUAGUAUUAUGGAAGGUAAGAGACAGUAGAUAAACUGAUUUAAGAAGAUCAUUUGCUGAAGAUCAUGAAGUUACUAAAUGCCAAUCAAGAUCUGAACUCUCUGUCUAGGGCUCUUAGCACCACCUGCCUAACUUCUUCAUCAAAGGUAUCACCUUUUCUCCUGUCAAUCUCAUCAGUUCCCCUCUUCAUCUACUCACUUAGGUCAGACCAUUAGCUAAGCAUCCCUCUAGCACCUGAAAAAUAAAAAAGCCCAAAUGAUAGGAGGUUGUGGUAAAGCCAGCUUUUCUUUCACCAGGUAGCCUAGAAAGUACCUGGAGUUUAAACACAGUUCCACCAUUUUUCCCUUUUGCCUAUUCUUCCUCACCUUUACCCUCCCUCCAUUCAUGACCAGCCCUUCAACAUUUAGGUACCCUUGUUUGUGGCACCUAGACUGUUGCUAGUGAAAGGAAAAAGUGUGAGUUUAUUUAUUGAGCAUCUACUAUGUAAUCAAACUCUGUCCUACAUGUUUUCACACUUCACAUGUGUUUGCUUUUUGA